rnacentral:rRNA from 1 species
UACAGAGGUCCCAAGCGUUGUUCGGAUUCAUUGGGCGUAAAGGGUGCGUAGGUGGCGCUGUAAGUCGGGUGUGAAAUUUCGGAGCUUAACUCCGAAACUGCAUUCGAUACUGCGGUGCUUGAGGACUGGAGAGGAGACUGGAAUUUAUGGUGUAGCAGUGAAAUGCGUAGAGAUCAUAAGGAAGACCAGUGGCGAAGGCGGGUCUCUGGACAGUUCCUGACACUGAGGCACGAAGGCCAGGGGAGCAAACGGG